CCGGGGUCCUGCCGUCGAGCCCCGCAUCGGGCUCUCUGUUGGGCAGGGAUCCUGCUUCCCCCUCUCUCUCUGCCUGCCUCUCUGCCUACUUGUGAUCUCUCUGUCAAAUAAAUAAAUUUAAAAAAAAAAAAGAAAAGAAAAGAAAAAGAAUUAGGAGCACAGGGUUGGAGUGGGGUGGACAGGAAGUAGGGUCCAGGGAAAGCAAAGAGGACACCAAGGCCUGAGGCGGCUCGACGGCCUCGGCAGAGAUCCUCCCGACGGGAAGGUCCCGGGGAAAGGAAGAUGAGAGGGUAGAGGGUUAGGCUUGCAGAAAGGUUCAAGGAGUGAGGGGGAAAGGGAGUGGACGAGAAAGAGGGAGAGCUCCUGUCACACUACAGGGGAAGAAACAGGUCUCUCUAGCAAUGCGGGGACGGAGGUUCUGGGGCCCACCGAUGGGAGUCCUCCGGUGAGGCUGUCUAGUGGGCAGUUAGAGGUUAAUUAACCUUGAGAAUACAUUCCGGAACUGAAAGAACUCAAAAGCUCUAUUGUUUCUGGUAUGUUCCGAGCCAUGUGCCACCAGCUGGAGCACAGGUCUAUGAGGAAGCCAGGAGCCCUGGGCCUGUGGGUCAGCGCUGCGUCCUCUGGUCCCAGGGCACGUGAGGCCAUCCCCUCUACAAACCUCUGGAACUGGAGCUCAGUGUCUUCCCGGGAAACUUUCUAUAUCCUGCUAGAAGAUGGGGAAGUGGAGAAGACGGGAGUUUUGCCACAAGGAUAUCACCACUUUUCAUCACUUUCCCCUCUCACUCUUGGACUUGGAGUGGUAGAAGCUUUCACAGAAGGCUGGUGGAUGCCCUCCGGGAUCAUUGGCCUCAGCCCUGCCAAGAGAGUCUCCAUUCUGACACAAUGUAUUUGAGCCAGCCUGAAGAUCUGGGAAGUUUACUCUUGACCUAUCUGCCAUUUUUAAUAAACAAACUCAGGACAGAUUUUAUUUGUAUAACAAGCCACCACCUUGAGUUGCAAAGUAGUCACAGAGCUUUCAUUCUGUGUAUGUUACAUCUGCGUAUAUUACCGACUUUUUAGGAUUCAUAUUUAAGCAUUUUUACCAUUUGGUUCUAUGCUUUGUUUGCAAAUACUGUUGGGUGACAUUUCAAAUAUAUAAAUAGAAGAAACUAAGA
rnacentral:lncRNA from 1 species